rnacentral:rRNA from 1 species
UACGUAGGGUGCGAGCGUUAAUCGGAAUUACUGGGCGUAAAGCGCGCGCAGGCGGCUAUCCAAGUCAGUGGUGAAAGGCCCGGAGCUCAACUCCGGAACUGCCAUUGAAACUGUUUAGCUUGAGGACGAGAGAGGUGAGUGGAAUUCCCAGUGUAGAGGUGAAAUUCGUAGAUAUUGGGAAGAACACCGGUGGCGAAGGCGGCUCACUGGCUCGUAUCUGACGCUCAGGCGCGACAGCGUGGGGAUCAAACAGGAUAGAAACCCCUGUA